rnacentral:tRNA from 1 species
GCGCCCGUAGCUCAAUUGGACAGAGCACCAGACUUCGGAUCUGGGGGUUACAGGUUCGACUCCUGUCGGGCGCGCCA